AGAGUUUGAUCCUGGCUCAGGAUGAACGCUAGCGGCAGGCCUAAUACAUGCAAGUCGAGCGGCAAGUCGAGGAGUAAUCUAAGACCUAGAGCGGCGCACGGGUGCGUAACGCGUAUGCAACCUACCUCAUACAGGGGGAUAGCCCGGAGAAAUCUGGAUUAAUACCCCAUGGUACUAUGAAGCGGCAUUGUUUUAUAGUUAAAGAUUCAUCGGUAUGAGAUGGGCAUGCGUCUGAUUAGCUAGUUGGCGGUGUAACGGACCACCAAGGCGACGAUCAGUAGGGGUUCUGAGAGGAAGGUCCCCCACACUGGCACUGAGAUACGGGCCAGACUCCUACGGGAGGCAGCAGUAGGGAAUAUUGGGCAAUGGACGAGAGUCUGACCCAGCCAUGCCGCGUGCAGGAAGACGGCGUUCUGCGUUGUAAACUGCUUUUAUCUGGGAAGAAAAGGCCCAUGCGUGGGACAUUGCCGGUACCAGAUGAAUAAGCACCGGCUAACUCCGUGCCAGCAGCCGCGGUAAUACGGAGGGUGCAAGCGUUGUCCGGAUUUAUUGGGUUUAAAGGGUGCGUAGGCGGCUAUUUAAGUCAGCGGUGAAAGACAUCGGCUCAACCGAUGCAGUGCCAUUGAUACUGGAUAGCUUGAGUGUUGGAGGGGUACAUGGAAUUGAUGGUGUAGCGGUGAAAUGCAUAGAUACCAUCAGGAACACCGAUAGCGAAGGCAUUGUACUGGCCAACAACUGACGCUGAGGCACGAAAGCAUGGGGAGCGAACAGGAUUAGAUACCCUGGUAGUCCAUGCCGUAAACGAUGAUUACUCGCUGUUAUGCCUUGAUGGUGUAGCGGCCAAGCGAAAGCGUUAAGUAAUCCACCUGGGGAGUACGCCGGCAACGGUGAAACUCAAAGGAAUUGACGGGGGUCCGCACAAGCGGUGGAGCAUGU
rnacentral:rRNA from 1 species